ensembl:lncRNA
UGGAAGUGAAAAUAUUUUCUUUUCAUCAUGAGGAAGGGAAUGUAAAAUUUUUGUGUGUGUGCGGUCCUGGAGAGAACACACGGAGCAGCGCGAGAUCUGAUUAAUGACAUGAUUAGCCUAAUAAAAACAAGUUUUCCGCUACAGAUAGUAAUGUGACAGUUUGGCUAAGACGCUGCAGAUUGUUUAUUUAUUUAUUUACUUCUCACGGAUUUCUCAGACACUGGAAAUAACUAAUGGGUAAAACAGUUCUUCUGAGACUGCUGGGGUUUCUGAUACAGGUUGUGAGUUUUCCUGGUCUGAGUGGUCCAGCGUCUGUCCGUGUACAGGUGGAGUUCUGCAGAUUUCCACUCAGCCUUGAGCCUGAUGCUUACACACUUUUAUUGGGAAACAAGGUGCUGAGCAGCAGUGUGGUGUGUCAGGGUGUGUGUGAGUGUAUCAUGGAUGUACUUGUACCAGAGUCGUCUCCGGAACUGAAUCUGACUUUACAGUCGUACGAACGGGGCAAGAUGUUGGAGGGCAGAUUCUUCAGGCUGG